rnacentral:rRNA from 1 species
UACGGGGGGGGCAAGCGUUGUUCGGAAUUACUGGGCGUAAAGGGCUUGUAGGCGGCCAACUAAGUCAGACGUGAAAUCCCCCGGCUUAACCUGGGAACUGCGUCUGAUACUGGACGGCUUGAGUAUGGGAGAGGAACGUAGAAUUCCAGGUGUAGCGGUGAAAUGCGUAGAUAUCUGGAGGAAUACCGGUGGCGAAGGCGGCGUUCUGGACCAUUACUGACACUGAAUCGCGAAAGCUAGGGGAGCAAACGGG